rnacentral:ncRNA from 8 species
UGAGUGUGUGUGUGUGAGUGUGUG